CCUACGGGAGGCAGCAGUGAGGAAUAUUGGUCAAUGGACGAGAGUCUGAACCAGCCAAGCCGCGUGAAGGAUGACUGCCCUAUGGGUUGUAAACUUCUUUUAUAAAGGAAUAAAACGAGGCACGUGUGCCUUUUUGCAUUUACUUUAUGAAUAAGGAUCGGCUAACUCCGUGCCAGCCGCCGCGGUAAUACGGAGGAUCCGAGCGUUAUCCGGAUUUAUUGGGUUUAAAGGUAGCGUAGAUGGGUUGUUAAGUCAGUUGUGAAAGUUUGCGGCUCAACCGUAAAAUUGCAAUUGAUACUGGCAGUCUUGAGUACAGUUGAGGUAGGCGGAAUUCGUGGUGUAGCGGUGAAAUGCUUAGAUAUCACGAAGAACCCCGAUUGCGAAGGCAGCUUACUAAACUGUGACUGACGUUGAUGCUCGAAAGUGUGGGUAUCAAACAGGAUUAGAUACCCUUGUAGUC
rnacentral:rRNA from 1 species